UUAUGGGAGGAUUGACAGAUUCAGAACUCCUUUUUGAUUCGGUGGAUGGAGGUGCAUGGUCGUUCUUAGUUGGUGGAACGAUUUUUCUGGUUAAUUCCGAUAACGAACGAGACUCUAGUAUAUUAAAUAAAGGCGUGGUUCUCUGCACAUUGCUUUCUUAGAGGGACAAUCCAGACGACACCAAACAUCCCGCGGACGUCCCGAAAACGUGCGGACAUCCCACGUCCCAA
rnacentral:rRNA from 1 species